CCGCCUGCAACCUCGGAGAACAACAGGCUCUGAGAGCAGGACCGGGCUCUGCAGCCUCUCCCCCGCCUCGCAGGUGCUGGGCUGCUGGUGUUCAAGGGCAGCUCCAACACGGUGCAGCCGAGUGACCUUGGAGCUGAGCAGUGCGGGAGGAGUGGGGUGAGAGCCGGGAGAGUCCCUGCCUGCCCCUGCCACGCACCUCGCUGAUCCCGGCCCUGCCUGCUGGCCUUCACCCCAUGCUGUUCCACCACUACAGCCCGAGGAGCAACAUGGUUGUCUUCAACAGGUUGACAACACGAUCAGCCCACCAAGCACGUGCCAGGAGUUCCUUUGAAGUUUCAAGCAGAUCACAUCUGAACACCCAGCC
rnacentral:lncRNA from 1 species